rnacentral:lncRNA from 1 species
GUGCACAGCCCAGUGUACAGCAGAAUGAGCCUCCUGUCACCAGCCCAGAGCUCUCAGACAGAAUUGAGUUCCUGUACAGUAGGACUUUCCACUCAUGUCUGUGGUCUAGGAGGAGAUUGGGUUGGGCAAACACCAGGCACGAUGGAGCAACCAUUAACCCUGGAGUUGUGAAGACAGGACCACAAGCUGAGAGAGGGCAGCAAUGGAAACCCAGCCAAACUAUUAAUGGAAGGCUGGGUCCCAUUCUUUAUUAUCCUUCUGUGGUCUCGUCACCAGCAGGGUGAGCCAAAGCCGAGGGCAAGAACACGCUGGGUGACCUUCCACACCCCAAAUGCAAGAUCAAGUGCUGUGGAGAAGGAGGCCCAUGGAAGAACUCGCUAGUGGAAACUGUCAACAUUGACUAGCUAUCAUGAGCCAGGACUGAUGGGAUGACGUGAGCAGAGGACACCAUUAUUUUGUGCUUCAUCAAAGUUGCAAGCUUAAUAAGUGACAAAGUGGGGUCCAAAACCCAAUUUCCAAACAGGAAAGCAGAAAACACUUUGAAUCUUCAUAAUAGAAGAGACUUAACACAGAGACAGAGUUACAUGGUGACAACAGAAACUGUUGGGAUUCAAUUGGGGGCCAGAGGGCAAUGCAGGGACUCGCAAAGCCAGAAAGCUAGCAGCACCCCAGGCUGAGGAGGAAUGGUGUGGGCCUACCAGAGUAAGGGCUGGGUUCACCUGGGGGCAUCAUCCCCUAAACUCCCUCGUGACAGCCCUCCCCAUGCUGUACUGCAAUGGCCCAAUGGCAGGCUACUGACUCGACGACCUGGACUCCUUGGACCCCAUCACAUCUUGCUCAUUUUCUAUAUAGUCAGCAGCACUGGGCACAGGGAAAGCAAUCAAACAAACAAACAAACAAACAUGAAGGAUCAAACAAAGCAAUCAAACAAACAAACAUGAAGGAGGCACGAUAGACAACCUGGACACCUCCAGACGAGGCUGGAAGAACAUGAGUCAGAGGACAGACUGGCUGGAACUGGAAUCCAGAUUCUGAAGAUAGCUCCCAG